rnacentral:rRNA from 1 species
UACAGAGGUCCCAAGCGUUGUUCGGAUUCAUUGGGCGUAAAGGGUGCGUAGGUGGCGUUGUAAGUCGGGUGUGAAAUUUCGGAGCUCAACUCCGAAACUGCAUUCGAUACUGCGGUGCUUGAGGACUGGAGAGGAGACUGGAAUUUACGGUGUAGCAGUGAAAUGCGUAGAGAUCGUAAGGAAGACCAGUGGCGAAGGCGGGUCUCUGGACAGUUCCUGACACUGAGGCACGAAGGCCAGGGGAGCAAACGGG